GUUGUCUGUAAUCCAGGCCACGAGGUCCUGGUCCACCAGCAACACUUCUCUGGAUCCUGAGUGGCUGGACCAUUUUAAAAGCACUUGACAAGACAAAGAACAUGAUCCUCGGAGCGCUGCGUCACCUCUCCAGGCAUGUGUAAAAUCUGUGAAGCAGGUGAAUGAUACCAAUCUCACCCUGGUUUGCAAAGUGCAGCAGAUCCAAGCAGUCAUGUACCAGGGGCUUGCGGUGCUGCAGAACCAGCCUAUAAAAACCUUUAUUAUAUGAAAUGUUAAGGCCAUAAACUUGAAGUUGUUGAUCUGAAACAGAUAAGCUGAUCUGUGAAACAUGGUGGAAUCUGGAAAUUUACAAAUAAAUGCAUUCAAAUUAUUCAGGAAGAACAUUAUGAUGCAGUAAGGCAAUGAUCCAAAACACAGUGCCACCUCAACAAAGACCACUAAGAAAAAAGUGGAAGGUUUUAGGUCAAGUCAAUACACCAGACAUGCAAUUAAACAUAUAUUUUUUCUCCUAAAGGCAGAAACAAAAGUGCAAUAAAAAAGAAAACAACAAUUUGGUUAUGUCAAUGAGUCACAGGCUUGAUGCAGCGGUUACAAGCAAGGGUUCCAAUACUUGUCCUUUUCUAAAAAUUGGGUAGUCUGAUACAAAAGUUUAAAUGUUUAAUAAAACUACAUGUAAAUACCAGGAAAUACUGUAGAAGCUAAAAUCCUAAACUCUCUUUUCAUAGUAAUCCUAUGAUCAUAAACCCAAAUGUCAAUUCCAAAAGACUCCAGUAGAUUCUGCUUUACUUUAAGACUGUCUCAUUCAAUACAUUUGGUCAUCUGUCAACAAAAUGUACCAUAGUACAAGUUAACACAGCAAGUAAACAGCAGGAAAAGAAUUGUGAGAUUCUGAUCUACUGUCUCAUAUGUUUUGAUUUUAAACCCAAGUCUUCAGUGUAUAGAAUAACAAAAUACUUUCCAAUACUUUAGGAGAGGUCUGAAUUUCAUUAGGUCAGAAAUAACCUCAUAAUUGAAGUAUUAAAACAGUUUGAGAUUAAAUAUAAAUAUGUGCCAGGUUAGAUGAGGUUCUGAGUGAGUUCCCCAUCCAUUAAGGGAAAAUAAACUUUUCCCCCCAUCAGCCUCAACUGAGGAAAGGAGCAGCAACAGUUAAGUGGAGAAAAACUGGAAUAACACUAUACAUCAAAAAUUGUUACAUUCCAGUAAGAUAGCAGCAGCCCAAAAAAAUGGUCAUAAAUUUGCACACGCUUGCACAUCUUUGUUUUCUCAAACAAUGUGAGAUGUGGCUGCCAAACAAAAAGCUCCAGAUUCACCUACAGAGUUCACCAUGUGGGCGAUACCCUGUAUGACUCAACCUGCAUCUUUAAACUAGAUUAUUUAGAGAAAACACCUGAAGCACAGAGAGAACAUGAAACCUUGAGCAUAUAAGGCAGAGGCAGGGCUCAAACCGCCAUCCCUGGAGGUGAAUGGCAUAUAGUUUAAUUAAAUGGCAUUUAUGAAACAUUUUGAGAUACUAGUGUUGAAUUAAAUAACACUUACAUUUAAAAUUAAGCAGUUACAGUAUGAGAAGAGCUUUAAUUGUACAAACAUUUGUGUCAUUAUUAUUAUCAUCCUGUUGCUGCUCAUUUGAAAUAAAAAGCCAAGUACAUUAUGAAUCCUUUAGGUAAUGAUUUUUAUUGUGUUUAUAUGGGUUGAUUUGGACAACUCUUAUAAAGGAGAAGAACAGUAUUUUUGAUAUGCUGCUGAUGGGUCUACUAAACUGAUAUUUGUGUGCAACAUGGCAAAAUAAAAUAAGUUUGACACUCCUGGCCUAGUUAGAAUCUUACAUAGUAGAGUAUGCCAUGCAUGUUUUAGACAUGUCUUAUUUAAUCCAUUUACAUACAGCACUAAGGUCCCAUUUCUUAAAAACUAGCGUCACCGUUGGUUAAAAUAAAAUAAAAAACCUCUUUAAAUAUAUUCCAAUGUAGCUGGUACACUGUCCACUCUCGUGUAUAAUAUACAUGUCUUCUAAGGUGAAUAAGAAGGAUGCACGACACAGACAUACAGACAGACAGACACACACAAUUAUUAUUAUUAUUAUGCUCGGGUUGUUUGAGACAAAUAAACAGGGAUAAUGAUAGUAAUGAUCUUAAACAUUUGUGUAAUUCAUCAUGUGAACCUGUCAGAAAAUUACGAAAAAUUUCCACCCUCCAGGAACAAGUCCAAUCGGGCCUACAGGGGUCUAGAUCCACAUUGGCAACCCGCAAUAACCUGAAACAGAUAACGUUAGAUAUCAAGG